CCACCCAGGCGCCCCUUCAGAUCGCAUAAAUCUUUCGCCUUUUACUAAAGAUUUCCGUGGAAUUACUAGAUUGUAUGGUACUUCUGUUUUCAGUUUUUUGAGUAACCUCCAUACUGUUUCC